GACGAACGCUGGCGGCGUGCUUAACACAUGCAAGUCGAGCGGUAAGGCUCCCUCGGGAGUACACGAGCGGCGAACGGGUGAGUAACACGUGAGCAAUCUACCCUUCACUUUGGAAUAACUUUCGGAAACGGAAGCUAAUACCAAAUACGACCACCGAAGGCAUCCUUGGUGGUGGAAAGUUCCGGCGGUGGAGGAUGAGCUCGCGGCCU
rnacentral:rRNA from 1 species